AUCAUCAUAUCAUAUAUUAUAGUUAUUUUUCAGCUAAUAAACGCUUUAUUUUCCUGUUAGUCGCUAAAGGACUGUGAAAUGAUACUUGAUUUUUCUGUGGCAGCUCCUGUGUGUAUUUGAGUGGUGGAUAAAUGGCACAUUUGUGUUAACUGGACUGGGAUUUUAAAAUAAUAUUACACUAUUAGAUGUCCUUUAAAGUAAUCCUCAGCUUCCCAUUAACUUUUUUUUGUUGUUUCAGAAAAAUCCAGUUUGGUCACACAAGUGAUUUACAUUUUUCUGCUUGGGAAGUCUUUAAUGACUAAGAUGAAUGCCAGUAGUGGGUGUUGUACUUGGAGUUGGGAACCCUUCGGUACUACUGAAAGGAUACAGAUUACAGUGCCUGGAAAAGGUGGCAAGCUUUGAAAUAGCGUUUGCCAUCUCUAAAAAGACCCUAUCUUUCACAUUGGGCGACUCGCAACAGAUCAGCGCAUCAGGAUCACGGGGGCUGACUGACUGGUAAUGGUGUGAAUGCAUGUAUGAUUUAUCUCACCGCCCUGUGGCUGAAACAUCAUCUGGGGACGUUUGCUCUCCUUAUUCCUCUGGAUUUGGGUAUUCCACUUUCCAGGUAAGCACUCAAGUCAGUAAGCCAUUAGUUAUUUCAUAAUAUGUCUCAUUCUCACACUUGUUUGAAGGAACAAUGCAAA
rnacentral:lncRNA from 1 species